rnacentral:rRNA from 1 species
CAGCAGCCGCGGUAAUACGUGGGUGGCAAGCGUUGUCCGGAAUUAUUGGGCGUAAAGCGCGCUCAGGUGGUUUAAUAAGUCUGAUGUGAAAGCCCACGGCUCAACCGUGGAGGGUCAUUGGAAACUGUUAAACUCGAGUGCAGGAGAGAAAAGUGGAAUUCCUAGUGUAGCGGUGAAAUGCGUAGAGAUUAGGAGGAGCACCAGUGGCGAAGGCGGCUUUUUGGCCUGUAACUGACACUGAGGCGCGAAAGCGUGGGGAGCAAACAGGAUUAGAUACCCCCGUAGUCCCUGUCUCUUAUAC